UCCCUGGUGGUCUAGUGGUUAGGAUUCAGCACUUUCACUGUGGUGACCCUGGUUCAAUCCCUGGUCGGGGAA